UCCUUUAACUACGAACCCUCCGCGCUGGCUGCAUUGUCUAUAGUUAUGCCCCUGGCGCAUAUGCACAUUUUCUAACACAGCGCAGGUACACUCAAUUAAAGCCAACAGCAAAUUAACAAAAUACACCUCUUUCAACCACAAGUAAGAGAUACAUGACAGCGACUUCACGCAGAGGCUCUGGCUUAGGGGCCCCCUGAGCUCAUGGGCCCCUUAAUCCAUCCCUGAACAGUACCCAACUGCCUGAGGACACGCGCUGUACCUGGUCUGUAGCCCAGUUUUAUUGAUAUUGGGAAUUUUAUAUGUGUUUAGUUAUGAUGGCUGGCUUGGACUGGUCAGCAGGACUGGUGGAAAGAAUGAACCAAAUUAUCAAGAGCAAUCUCUUAAGUGCAUCCCAUAGCCAUGAAUAAUUGCGUUAAAAAACCCAUCACCUGUCACAACAUUGUUCACGUCCUCUUGCUGGCCAUGUUGUAGUGUUUAACAGGAGCGUGAAGGUGUGCCCUUACGGAUCCCGGGUGCAGCAUUCAGCCUGUGUUGCAGCUGUCACCAGCCAGUUAUCCACUGCUAUUGUAUCCUGCCACCCUACUAUGUUUGUAUAACUAAAACUGCCCAUGCACCAAGCAAGUCAGCACAACUAAACAUAACUAAAUCUAUAAAACUGGGCUACAGACAGCGUAUGUUGUAUCGUGAAGGAGUGCCUUUACAGAUCCCAGGUACAGCAUAUGGCACAUUUUGCAGCUGUCACCAGCCAGUUGGGCACUGUUGUGUGUCCUGCCACCCUUACUAUGCUUGUAUGACUAAAACUCACCAUGCACCAAGCCAGCCAACAUAACUAAUAACAACUAAACACAUACAAAAUCCCCCAAAUCAACAAAACUGGGCUACAGACAGUGUUAAUUGCCAUCCUAAAUGUAUCUCCUUAUCUGUUUAUCAAAUUGAUGUCUACUAACAAAAUGUUCCCUCUUAUAGCAUGAUCCAAAUGCUGAUGGAUGUGGAAACAAUGCUCCUCAUCACCAUUGGUCCUCAUCUACAUAUAUUGGCAGCCAAACUCUACCCACUCACUCUGUUUCUUUCUUCCCCUCCCAGUCUAGACUAUCUUCGCUGUGGGAUGCUGCUGUAGUUUCUACUUGUAGAAACCCUCUGCCCACAUGUACUCAUUACCACCGUACUGCGUACAUUUAUAUGCAAUAUAUAUAAUUGUCACCAUCGACAUGUUACUCUUUUCAUACUCUACUUACCCAUGUAACAGUAACCCUAUGAGCACACUGAAUACCCACUAAGCUGUUUUUGUAUGCAUCAUUUAUAUACCAUAUGAUGUUUGUAUAUAUAAUAUGUACAUCUACCAUAUGUAUGCUGUGUACAUUUACCACUUGUUGUUUCCCCUAACCUUCUGCCAAAGGACCCCUCCAUCUCUUCCCGGCCGACCUCAAGCAGAUGGGUCCCCCCUUAUAUGCCGCGGUUCUGCUUAAGGUUUCCUCCUGAUUAACAGGGAGUUUUUUUCUUGCCCCUUGUGCUUAGUCUAAGGGUGUCCAGGCACUGGGCUCUGUAAAGCUCCUUGAGACAAAUCUAUUGUUUUGGCACUAUAUAAAUAGAAUUGGAAUUAUUUUUUAAAUUGAAUUACUGGGCUACAGUCAGUAUACUGAUUCUUUCGCUAAGCCGCCUUCCUGAGUCUCUUACUUGAACCAACUUUGGCGUUUCAUCAAGGAUUCCCAAGAACAGCAACAUCUUUCAGUUGCCGUUUCCACCCAGUUUCCAUGAUAAAGUACAAAGAAGAAACUACCCGGAGAGACCAUUCAAACGGUGAGUGAAUCUUUUACUUUAAAGCUGGAAAAAAGAACAGACUUGCUGUGCAAGUUAAAGCCAGUUAGCAGGAGUAAGGUCUCUGUCAAGUGGCUAUGCGCAUAGACUUGGCAUGCCAGGGCAGUUAUUGAUCAGAGCACCUUUAGUUAUUGAUCACAGCGUUUUUGAUUUGCUGUCAGAGUAAACUGCAAUCAUUGCAUCGUUGGAUGGGUUGUAGCUAAAGGAGCUAUAUGUUCUUUGGGUGGUAAAGGUCAUUAUUGAUCAGAGCGUGGCGUUUUAAAUUGCUGUUAAAAUAAUUUAAACUCUCAGUUCAAGCUGACCACAUAAAAGUUGGAAAAGCUUUAUUAAUGAUGAUUGUAUGGGAAUUUAGUAAUGGUCUCUUGUUAUGGACGUGACUAUGAGAAAUGGGUUAAUGAUAGAAGUUGUUUAUUCUGGUCAUAUGGAUGAAAUGCCACAUUCUAUGGAUUUUGUGGUACUGCCGCAGUUUUUUUUUGUGUUUUCAGAGCCAACCCCCCAGGAGCAGCAUGACAGGAUCUGGAUGAAGAACCAAUGGUGCCUCUGCUGCAAUGACCAAGCCAUCACCGCGGUCCAUGAUCCACCUCACCUGUUGGACAGCAGUGACAACACUACAUAAACUGGACCUUCAUGUUUCCACCACACAACAUUCAAGGACUUGACUGAACUACCUGAACAUCGGAUGAUCAGAGAUGCUAAGUUGCCACUCACAGCUCACGGAAGGUGAGUGUCGCUGUACAAAAGCAGGACAGUAAAAGAAUUUUCCCCAAAAUUAGAGGAUAUUAAAGGGUUUUUCGCUUUUACCUGUGAGCUCAGGAACUUUGCCAUCUUGGUUGCAAGAAACAACCGAUUAAUACGUGUGUUUGCACCAAAUGUAAACAAAAGGUUUAAACAAUGUUGGAUUGUUUGAUCAUGAUUAUGUCCGAUUUUGUUUUAUUAUGGUUUUAUGAGGUUUUAUUAUGAUCAUUAUGCAGUUUCAUUUAUGAUGGGAUUGUUAGAUUUUGGUGGAUUUCAAAUACCAGAACAUAGUAAUAGAUCCAUACGUAGUCUCAGGCGGAUUUGGAGCCAGAGCCAUUAGACUUGAAGGUUGGAGCCAGGCAUUUAGCAUUUAGAUGGCCAUGGUUAAGCUAAACCCCCUCUGCCUAGCAUUUUCACCUUUAUCUAGCAUAAACUAGAUAGACUUCAUCCUGACACCUUAGCAGAAAAUAUGGAAAAAAUGUUACAGAAACAAAAUGCUCUCAGAUCUCUCUGUCCUCCAAGCCCAGCCCACUGUGACAGAAAGCCCAGAAACAAAGGGGGGUGGAAAGCAAUAGGCUCCACUCGUCUCAACCCUGGUGAAGAAAACAACACUGUCCAGAGGGGUAGAGGAGCCGAGGGGUAAAGGAGCUGAGGGGUAGAGGAGGCGGGGGGAGGCUGAGGGGUAGAGGAGCUGAGGGGUAGAGGAGCUGAGGGGUAGAGGAGCAGGGGGGUAGAGGAGCAGAGGGGUAGAGGAGCUGAGGGGUAGAGGAGCUGAGUGUUGAAGGAGCUGAGGGGUAGAGGAGGCUGAGGGGUAGAGGAGGCUGAGGGGUAGAGGAGGCUGAGGGGUAGAGGAGCAGGGGGGAGGCCGUGGGGUUAGGCGAUCCUAUCUCUGUAAAUCAUUGCAGGUUACAAGAAACUGCACCUGUGAGAUUGGUUUGGUGCACUUUCUGGAAUGUUUUAUUUGUGGAAAGGUUUCUUUGUGGAAAAGCGUCUUAAUGUCUUGUGUAGGAAUGAUGUUACUUUAUCUGUGUUUAUUGGCAACCUGUACAUGUUGUGUGAUACCCCGCAUCCAAAAAAUGUUAUGACUAAUGUGAUAGUUAACAUGGUUGACACUCAACAACUCACCAACACAAAGUGUUUAGUGUCAGUGAAUGCUGACUUCUUUCUAUAUCAAUCUUGUGUGAUGUGUUUAAUUAUGCUUCUCUCUCUUCUGCUGCAGUCUGAGCGCUCGCUCUCUCUGGCCUGCCAGGACGUGAGUGAGCCCGACAAGCUUGUUGUUGUUGUUGAAUAAAUAUACUUAUAUGCAACUCUGGAGUCCUGAGGUAACUUGAGUGCAUUUUCACCUAACAUCUGUUAUUACGUUAGUAUCCCCUCUGCUGGUUAAAGAACUCUGGUAGCCAUGUGCCUCUUGGGUUUGUUUUGUCAUGCCACGUUUUCUGUUUUUGUCCUUAAACUCCGACCCUACCUGCCCUCUGCCACUAUCUGGAUUUUCCUGUCACCAUCUACCACACCUGUUCUGUUAAUUAGUCUGUUUGUUAUCCUCACGAGUUUCUCGUGCCUCUUGUUUGCUUCCCACCAAUUAUCUCUUUCCCCUCUGGUAUUUAAGUUCAGUCUGUCCUGUGUCCCCUGUCUGAUUGUAACAUUGAAUUUGGUUGGUAACUCUGAGUCCUGUCCAAGUCUGUGAGUGUUUCUCUGCUUCACUUCCGUGGAUACCCUGUCCGUGUGGAAAAGUUUUGGAUUUUUGUGUUUCCCUUUACUCUGCCUUUGUUGGAUAUUUGGAUUUUUUUGUGUUUUGCCCUUUUUUUUAUACUUUGUUACCUGGAUCUUUUGUGUGUUGGAUUUGUGGACCUUUUAAGUUUUACUUUUUGCAAAAUAAAUUCUAAGUUCUUGCUGGC
ensembl:lncRNA